AUAUCAGUCAUGCAUAGCAUAUCAAUAAGCGGAGGAAAAGAAACUAACAAGGAUUCCCCUAGUAACGGCGAGUGAAGCGGGAAGAGCUCAAAUUUGAAAUCUUAAAGGGCUUCCCUUUACGAAUUGUAGUUUAAAGAAGUGUUUUCUGUUGAGGUUUUGGUAAAAGUUCUUUGGAAUAGGACAUCAUAGAGGGUGAGAAUCCCGUAUUUGACCUUUACUUUCAACUUUGUGAUACACUUUCAAAGAGUCGGAUUGUUUGGGAAUGCAGUCCAAAAUGGGUGGUAAAUUUCAUCUAAAGCUAAAUAUUGGCGAGAGACCGAUAGCGAACAAGUACCGUGAGGGAAAGAUAAAAGAACUUUGAAAAGAGAGUUAAACAGUACGUGAAAUUGUCAAAAGGGAAGCGUUUGACACCAGUGUUGUUUUUCUGAAAAUCAAUUAAAGAACUGUUUAUGCUAAGUUGUUUAGACUUUAUCAGCUAACUGUUUAGUUUUGAGCUUCUCUUUAAUGCACUUUUCAGUUAACAAGUCAACAUCAAUUUCUUUUGCUGUAAAAAAGCUUGAGGAAGGUGGCUUGAGAUUCGUCUUAAGUGUUUAUAGCCUCUUGCCUAUGCAGUCGGAGAGAUUGAGGUCUGCAGCGUAGAUCCUUCGGGGCUAAAUGCAUUUGUGCUAAGUUAUAGCAUUUUAUAGACAACUUGUUGACUAUGAUUUGUCUUGUAGCUUACUCGCUUAUCGCUAUUUUACCUACGCUUAGGAUGUUGACGCGCGUGUGUGCGUG
rnacentral:rRNA from 1 species